CCUACGGGAGGCUGCAGUGGGGAAUAUUGCACAAUGGGCGCAAGCCUGAUGCAGCCAUGCCGCGUGUGUGAAGAAGGCCUUCGGGUUGUAAAGCACUUUCAGCGGGGAGGAAGGCGGUGAGGUUAAUAACCUCAUCGAUUGACGUUACCCGCAGAAGAAGCACCGGCUAACUCCGUGCCAGCAGCCGCGGUAAUACGGAGGGUGCAAGCGUUAAUCGGAAUUACUGGGCGUAAAGCGCACGCAGGCGGUCUGUCAAGUCGGAUGUGAAAUCCCCGGGCUCAACCUGGGAACUGCAUUCGAAACUGGCAGGCUAGAGUCUUGUAGAGGGGGGUAGAAUUCCAGGUGUAGCGGUGAAAUGCGUAGAGAUCUGGAGGAAUACCGGUGGCGAAGGCGGCCCCCUGGACAAAGACUGACGCUCAGGUGCGAAAGCGUGGGGAGCAGACAGGAUUAGAUACCCCGGUAGUC
rnacentral:rRNA from 1 species